UACGAGGGGGGCAAGCGUUGUUCGGAAUUAUUGGGCGUAAAGGGCGCGUAGGCGGUGCGGUAAGUCACCUGUGAAAACUCUGGGCUCAACUCAGAGCCUGCAGGCGAAACUGCCGUGCUUGAGUGUGGGAGAGGUGAGUGGAAUUUCCGGUGUAGCGGUGAAAUGCGUAGAUAUCGGAAGGAACACCUGUGGCGAAAGCGGCUCACUGGACCACAACUGACGCUGAUGCACGAAAGCUAGGGGAGCAAACAGG
rnacentral:rRNA from 1 species